rnacentral:rRNA from 1 species
GGAAUAUUGGACAAUGGGGGCAACCCUGAUCCAGCCAUGCCGCGUGAGUGAUGAAGGCCUUAGGGUUGUAAAGCUCUUUCAGCGGGGAAGAUGAUGACGGUACCCGCAGAAGCAGCCCCGGCUAACUCCGUGCCAGCAGCCGCGGUAAUACGGAGGGGGCUAGCGUUGUUCGGAAUUACUGGGCGUAAAGCGCGCGUAGGCGGUUAGUAUAGUCAGGUGUGAAAGCCCCGGGCUCAACCCGGGAACUGCACUUGAUACUGACUAGCUUGAGUUCGGAAGAGGAGAGUGGAAUUCCCAGUGUAGAGGUGAAAUUCGUAGAUAUUGGGAAGAACACCAGUGGCGAAGGCGGCUCUCUGGUCCGAUACUGACGCUGAGGCGCGAAAGCGUGGGGAGCAAAC